rnacentral:rRNA from 1 species
AGCUUGCUACCUGACCUAGCGGCGGACGGGUGAGUAAUGCUUAGGAAUCUGCCUAUUAGUGGGGGACAACAUUCCGAAAGGAAUGCUAAUACCGCAUACGCCCUACGGGGGAAAGCAGGGGAUCUUCGGACCUUGCGCUAAUAGAUGAGCCUAAGUCAGAUUAGCUAGUUGGUGGGGUAAAGGCCUACCAAGGCGACGAUCUGUAGCGGGUCUGAGAGGAUGAUCCGCCACACUGGGACUGAGACACGGCCCAGACUCCUACGGGAGGCAGCAGUGGGGAAUAUUGGACAAUGGGCGAAAGCCUGAUCCAGCCAUGCCGCGUGUGUGAAGAAGGCCUUUUGGUUGUAAAGCACUUUAAGCGAGGAGGAGGCUACUUGGAUUAAUACUCUAGGAUAGUGGACGUUACUCGCAGAAUAAGCACCGGCUAACUCUGUGCCAGCAGCCGCGGUAAUACAGAGGGUGCGAGCGUUAAUCGGAUUUACUGGGCGUAAAGCGUGCGUAGGCGGCUUUUUAAGUCGGAUGUGAAAUCCCUGAGCUUAACUUAGGAAUUGCAUUCGAUACUGGGAAGCUAGAGUAUGGGAGAGGAUGGUAGAAUUCCAGGUGUAGCGGUGAAAUGCGUAGAGAUCUGGAGGAAUACCGAUGGCGAAGGCAGCCAUCUGGCCUAAUACUGACGCUGAGGUACGAAAGCAUGGGGAGCAAACAGGAUUAGAUACCCUGGUAGUCCAUGCCGUAAACGAUGUCUACUAGCCGUUGGGGCCUUUGAGGCUUUAGUGGCGCAGCUAACGCGAUAAGUAGACCGCCUGGGGAGUACGGUCGCAAGACUAAAACUCAAAUGAAUUGACGGGGGCCCGCACAAGCGGUGGAGCAUGUGGUUUAAUUCGAUGCAACGCGAAGAACCUUACCUGGUCUUGACAUAGUAAGAACUUUCCAGAGAUGGAUUGGUGCCUUCGGGAACUUACAUACAGGUGCUGCAUGGCUGUCGUCAGCUCGUGUCGUGAGAUGUUGGGUUAAGUCCCGCAACGAGCGCAACCCUUUUCCUUAUUUGCCAGCGGGUUAAGCCGGGAACUUUAAGGAUACUGCCAGUGACAAACUGGAGGAAGGCGAGGACGACGUCAAGUCAUCAUGGCCCUUACGACCAGGGCUACACACGUGCUACAAUGGUCGGUACAAAGGGUUGCUACCUAGCGAUAGGAUGCUAAUCUCAAAAAGCCGAUCGUAGUCCGGAUUGGAGUCUGCAACUCGACUCCAUGA